UCCGUGGUGGUCUAGUGGUUAAGACUUGGCACUUUCACUGCUGUAGUCCAGGUUCAAUCCCUGGACUGGGAA
rnacentral:tRNA from 1 species